rnacentral:rRNA from 1 species
CUUGGUCAUUUAGAGGAAGUAAAAGUCGUAACAAGGUUUCCGUAGGUGAACCUGCGGAAGGAUCAUUAAAAAAAGAGAAACGUCCCGUUUUUUUUCAUAAGAAUGGGUUCUAUUCCCUUAAACCGUGUCUACAUACCUUUGUUGCUUUGGCAGGCCGCCUUCGGGCGUCGGCUCCGGCUGAUAGUGCCUGCCAGAGGACCCAAACUCUAUGUUUAGUGAUGUCUGAGUACUAUAUAAUAUUUAAAACUUUCAACAACGGAUCUCUUGGUUCUGGCAUCGAUGAAGAACGCAGCGAAAUGCGAUAAGUAAUGUGAAUUGCAGAAUUCAGUGAAUCAUCGAAUCUUUGAACGCACAUUGCGCCCCUUGGUAUUCCGAGGGGCAUGCCUGUUCGAGCGUCAUUAUAACCACUCAAGCCUGGCUUGGUAUUGGGGUUUUCGCGUGUUCGCGGCCCUUAAAAUCAGUGGCGGUGCCGUCUGGCUCUAAGCGUAGUAAUUUCUCUCGCUAUAGGGUUCCGGUGGUUACUUGCCAAAACCCCCCUAUUUUUUCUAGGUUGACCUCGGAUCAGGUAGGGAUACCCGCUGAACUUAAGCAUAUCAAUAAGCGGAGGA